rnacentral:misc_RNA from 1 species
GGUAAAUGGAGAGUUCAUUUUAUUCUUUCAUUUUCUUCCCCUGAACUCUUUAUGCAUUUAAUGCUGGUGUUGCUUCCUUUUUUGGUUUUGUUAAUUUACAGAGAAGUUCGAAAAUCCCUAGCAGACUUGGAAAAGCUUCAUUCUAGUGGGAAAGGUGAAAAUUUAUUUUCACCCAACGCUGGUGGACAUGAUCGCAACAAGGUAUUAAAAAGCCAGCUAUUUGUGGACAAGUUUUCUGAAAGCAUUCAAUAUACAUUUCUGGAUUACCUGAAAGGAGGAUGUGAGCUGAACUUCAUGGUGGCUAUUGAUUUCACUGGUACUUGUCUUUUAAUUUGUCUUUAACUUAAACUACGAUGCCUGGAAUUUUUGCUCCUAAAGGUUAAAUUAUUUUAUCUUAGUUACUUUGGGAAUAUAAUGUAAAUUAUUAUUUGUUGUUUUGGUUUAACAAGUCAUCAAUUAUAUUUAACAUUUGUUAUUGUGUUUCUAUUUGUGAGUUCACACAUCAUAGCAGAUCUGUGAGAUUCAUCAUAUUUCCUUUCUUGAUUUUCAAGUUUCAACAUGAACCAGAAAAGGGCAUUAUGUUGUUGUUACUCACGUAUGUGCCUUGUAAUGAUUUGUAGAAAUUUAUUUAUUCAACUAGACCACUUGAUCAUACCAUUCUCUUUACAUAUAUUAUGAUCUGUGUUGCAAAAGUAUAAUCUACUUGCAGAUGAAAAGAAGUUUAGCUUGUUUAUAAGCCAAAGAUCUCUAGCUAUUUGUUUUUUUGUGACAUUAAAGCAGGAGGAAGUUCUAAGGCCUUUUAAUACAACAUAUGAUCAUGAUCUUUAGGUGUUUUAUCAUAUUAUUAUUAAGGUUUUCCUUCUUUAUUUAACAGUCAUCACUACUGUAUUCCUAUAUAUCAUUUCCCAUUUCCCUCUUCCCCUUUUCUAUGUUUCAUCAUCAUUGGUAGACAACAGUGGGUUAUAGGUACCCUAACAUGUUAUCAUGCCUUUCAUUUUUCGUCUUUCAGCUUCAAAUGGAAAUCCCCGCCUCCCUGAUUCCUUGCAUUAUCUUGAUCCUUCAGGACGGUUAAAUGCAUACCAGCAAGUGAGAAAUCUUGUCUUCCAUAUUUAAUGUUCUUAAUCACUAUCAUUAAUGGACACGUGUUACUACUUGGUACAUACAAACGCUCAAAUUGAUAGGGAAAAUAAUGAGAAAAAAGUUUUACAGAUCUCAGCAAUGUGUGCAAGUCCAUAAAGCACUUGUAUGCAUAUAUAUGUGUGUUUGUGAAAGAGAAAAUUACAAUUGCCCUACAAAGCAAAGGAUUUUUUCUUUAUGUAGAAGUAUAAGGAAAAGCUGAAAUUAUGAAACACCUCUUUUUAUUAAAAUGUCUUUGCCCCUUCAUGCAAAACCACCCCAUUCCCCACCUUUGCAUGGAGCUUUCGGUGUACAAUAUCUUCUUUAAAUAUGAGCCACAAACUCAACAUUGCCAAUUUGUAUUUCAGGCAAUUGUAGAAGUUGGAGAAGUGUUGCAGUUUUAUGAUUCAGACAAGCACUUCCCUGCCUGGGGAUUUGGGGCACGGCCAAUUGAUGGUCCAGUGUCUCAUUGUUUUAACUUGAAUGGAAGCAAUAGUCACUGUGAGGUUGAAGGAAUCCAAGGAAUUAUGAUGGCAUAUACAAGUGCCCUUUUGAAUGUUUCUUUAGCGGGUCCAACGCUUUUUGGUCCUGUGAUAAGCACUGCUGCACUAAUUGCUAGCCAGUCUCUCGCAAAUGGAGGGAAAAAAUACUUUGUUUUGUUAAUAAUUACGGAUGGAGUUGUAACAGAUCUCCAAGAAACCAAAGAUGCUAUAGUGAAGGCAUCUGACCUACCGUUAUCAAUCCUUAUUGUUGGAGUUGGAGGAGCUGACUUCAAAGAAAUGGAGGUGCAAUUCACGUUUAUACUUCUUUCUAUGCCAGAAUACGUGAUUAUAGAAGUACUAAUAAUUCCUUUACAUUCUAGAUGCUAGGGUAGAAACCUCAAUUGUCUUAUUGAAUUCCUCCAAAUUUCUGAAGUUUUAACUGUUGCAUAGAUUUUGGAUGCUGACAAAGGAGAGAGACUCGAAAGUUCUACUGGACGUGUUGCUUCACGUGAUAUAGUUCAGUUUGUACCAUUCCGGAGUGUACAAAGUAAGAAAAUUUGCUAUUGUGAUAAAUAAAAGGUUAAGUGAUUAUUUUUAGUUUGUUGUAACACCUGUAAUAUUCGCAGGUGGACAAAUUUCUGUUGUUCAAGCGCUUCUAGCUGAACUACCUACUCAAUUUUCAACCUACAUGCGAUCCAGGGAUAUUCAACCAAAUAUUUAAUUUUGUAAAGAAGUUGUACAUAAAUGCAGUCAUGGUUUGUAGGUAAUGAGGCCUCAUUCAUCUUACUGGAAGAGUUACAUAUGCAUUCUUACAGAUUUAUGAAGUCAACAAAACCUCAUGCCAAUGGGCUUGGGUUAGCCGCACCAUCCUUUGUGAUAUUCUUAAGGGCUGGACAAAUUUUACAUUGUUUCCAGCUUGGAACAGUGGCUCUUCCUGGCUCGGAACAAGGUUUGGACAGAUCAAUGAAGACUUCUUACAUUUGGAAUAAAGUACGGAACAAUAGCUGAAAAUGCAAUGCAUUCAAGCCAGCUAUGGAAGGAUUGAGGUGGAACUAAAGUGGCCAUGCAUAUCUUGCAAAGUGGAAUAAAACUGUGAAGAAGUCAGAAUUGUAAUGCCGUCUUUUGAUUGUUUUACUUGGUUGUAUUGAUACCUUUAGGCGAUUUGUUGCCCAAAUAUUUCUUCUUUUUGACCUAAUGUGAAAUCCAUUGUUCAGUUUGAAAAUGAUCCGCUUCUUUCUCUUCCACACUGUUCCUUUUGUUCCCUUAGUCAAGUCUGUUGAACGUUCUUAUUAAUUAAUUUUUGGUCAAAACAAGAAAUUGAUAGAUGUUAGAU